CAGUCGCCGCGGGAAUACGUAGGGGGCAAGCGUUAUCCGGAAUUACUGGGUGUAAAGGGAGCGUAGACGGUUAAACAAGUCUGAAGUGAAAUGCCGGGGCUCAACCCCGGAGCUGCUUUGGGAACUGUAGAACUGGAGUGUCGGAGGGGUAAGCGGAAUUCCCAGUGUAGCGGUGAAAUGCGUAGAUAUUGGGAGGAACACCGGCGGCGAAGGCGGCUUACUGGACGACAACUGACGUUGAGGCUCGAAGGCGUGGGUAGCAAACUGGAUUAGAUACCCGCGUAGUCCCUGUCUCUUAUAA
rnacentral:rRNA from 1 species